AACGAACGCUGGCGGCAUGCCUAACACAUGCAAGUCGAACGAUGCUUUCGGGCAUAGGUGCGCAGGGGUACGGAACGCGUGGGAAUCUGCCCGUGGGUUCGGAGUAACAGAGAGAAAUUUCAGCUAAUACAGGUGGAUGUCAUCGGACCAAAGAUUUAUUGCUAAGGGAUGAGGCCGCGUAGGAUUAGCUGGUUGGUGGGGUAAUGGCCUACCAAGGCGACGAUCCUUAGCUGGUCUGAUAGGAUGAUCAGCCACAAUGGGAAUGAGACACGGACCAGACCGCGACGGGGGGCAGCGGUAGGGAGUACUGGAGGCUGGACGCAAGCCUAGUCCAGCAACGCCGGGUAAGUGAUGAAGGCCUUAGGAUUGUACUGCUCUCUUACACGGGAUGUUAAUGACGGUAACGGGAGAAUAAGCUCCGGCUAACUACGUG
rnacentral:rRNA from 1 species